AGUGAACGCUGGCGGUAGGCCUAACACAUGCAAGUCGAACGAGUGGCGGACGGGUGAGGAAUACCUCGGAAUCUACUCUGUCGUGGGGGAUAACGACGGGAAACUUACGCUAAUACCGCAUACGAUUGAAUGAGCCGAUGUCGGAUUAGCUAGUUGGUGGGGUAAAGGCUCACCAAGGCGACGAUCCGUAGCUGGUCUGAGAGGAUGAUCAGCCACACUGGAACUGAGACACGGUCCAGACUCCUACGGGAGGCAGCAGUGGGGAAUAUUGGACAAUGGGCGCAAGCCUGAUCCAGCCAUGCCGCGUGGAUGAAGAAGGCCUUCGGGUUGUAAAGCCCUUUUGGUGGGAAAGCGGUACCCGAAGAAUAAGCACCGGCUAACUCCGUGCCAGCAGCCGCGGUAAUAC
rnacentral:rRNA from 1 species